UCAAUUUAUUUAAAACUUUGCCGGCAAGUAGACGCGACGGCGCGCUACAAUUACUCUAAGAAACGGACGAUAACAACGGCUACGGUUGAAAGAUUUCUAGCAAACAUUAAAUCCCCGUAACGACUGAUUGCUGUUUAAGCUCUAAACAGCAUGAUACCGACUAAGUCGGUAACACGUCAGCUCCUCCUCGCUGGCGAGCGAGAGGAUGAAGGUAUAGUCUGUGCCAUUAGUAAUAAUGGA
rnacentral:autocatalytically_spliced_intron from 1 species